AAGUCGUAACAAGGUAACCGUAGGUGAACCUGCGGUUGGAUCAUUACUAAAUACUUUGACCUGAGGUUGAGCUCAAUUCAUUGAGAUCCCUCAGUGUCAUAAACAUUUUGUGCAUCUAUUGUGUAUUUGGGUUAUCUCUAUCUUUUUCUUUUUGUUAACACAAAAGAGUUGAAGUGAAAAGAUAACCCAACAAUGAAAAUAAACCAUUAUUCUUUUUUUUUGACUGAAAUAAAUUGAAAAAUUUAUAAACAACUUUUGACAACGGAUCUCUUGGCUCUC
rnacentral:misc_RNA from 1 species